UUGGGCGUAAGCGCGCGCAGGUGGUUUCUUAAGUCUGAUGUGAAAGCCCACGGCUCAACCGUGGAGGGUCAUUGGAAACUGGGAGACUUGAGUGCAGCAGAGGAAAGUGGAAUUCCAUGUGUAGCGGUGAAAUGCGUAGAGAUAUGGAGGAACACCAGUGGCGAAGGCGACUUUCUGGUCUGUAACUGACACUGAGGCGCGAAAGCGUGGGGAGCAAACAGGAUUAGAUACCCUGGUAGUCCACGCCGUAAACGAUGAGUGCUAAGUGUUAGAGGGUUUCCGCCCUUUAGUGCUGAAGUUAACGCAUUACGCACUGCGCACUGGGGAGUACGGGCGCAAGGCUGAAACUCAAAGGAAUUGACGGGGGUCC
rnacentral:rRNA from 1 species